CCUUCCUCCACAUCACCAUCUAGCAUGGGGCAAUUUGUGACACCUGUCCUCUCCUCUUUACGUGAUCACUGAGAGUUUUUUUCAAAACUUUUUGGGCUACUAAUUUUUAUUUUUCUGUGGGCUCUUACCAACUGGCCCAUCUUCUUUAGGGUUUCUAGCUCCUGCUAUCAGGAUUUGGCUCCUCCACUCACUCUUCGUCUCUUUGAAAGUCAAAGGAGAGACUCUCCGCUUGAGACUCUCAACUAUAAAACGGUCCCUUCUCUGCGAUGAAUAGCCACAGUUAUACGGGAUCCCUAAUAUGUUUUUCCUGGAUGAGAAGGUAAGUCCGGCGAGCUCUGUCUUCGUUUUUAUAGAUUCUUACAUAGAUUACGAGUCCUCUCUUGGAAUUCAAUUACGUUUUCUCCCCACGAAGACUAUGUCUUUGGUUUUAUCUUCUAUCUAAGUCAUAUGGAGUUUGCGUCUCCGACUACGUAACGCUUUUACUUUUUCGCCAUAGACCACCAUAUGUGCACCUUGGACGACGUUACCAUUAUAUUUCAGUUAAGUGAUUGCUCUUGAUGACUUCAUUCAAUCCAAGCAGCUCACUAUUUGCUCAUCCAUUCAUCUUCUCUGCCUUCAUUAGAUAUUUUAUUCAGUAUAUAUAUUCACCCGUAGGGCGUCUUAGCCACAACUCAUCAUUUUGCAGUCUACCUUUCUAACCAUUAAAUCAUUAGUUCUAGAUUUUUUUUUUGGAUUUCAGAGUCCCAGAUUCUCAUGUCCUGCAAAUUCCAAUUGUUUAUUAUAUUCCUGUGAAAAAAGAGACUGAUGAUUGUUUUGAACAAAAGCUUCGCAAAUAAAGUUUCAAGUUUCAAUCUUUAUCCUUUUUCUCUCCUUAAUACUAUAAAUAUGGCUUUUUCUCCAAAUUAGUAAAAUGAUGCUAAGUGGUCACGGUAGCGGUUGAUGCAUCUUUUUCUGUUUUAUUGACGCUUUGUUUAGACUUCAUGAUGAUUUGUUUUUGGACUUGAGGAAAGAAUCGUUCACAUGUGCGUGACUGCCCAAAAUUAUGUUAUGUAUCUAAGCAUAGAUAAAAUAUUUUUCCCUCAAAGCUUGGUUUGUUUCCGUCACAUCACAAUCUUCAUGUCCCAUUUCUUCAUUGAACAACUCUUCUAUCUAAGUCAUAUGGAUCUCGCGUCUCUAUCUACUUUGAGAGUCAUAUAUUGAUAUAUAUUAGAUUAACUUUGUAUUCCAUCCUCUAGAAUGAAGUUACCUUAUACAGUGAUACUUGUCUUCUCUUCAUUUUUGGUCUCAGUUUCUUUUUCUGUGAAUCGACUUGAUAUAAAUUUUUCCUUUACACAUGUAGAUUGUUUUCCUGACUGGUGCUUAAAGAUAUAGCUCUGGUGUAUUGAAUUCUCUUUAUGCAAGAUUUACUCUCUUAAAAGGAUAGUAGACAAAGGUCAUGACGGUUGGAAACUCGGUAGAGAGUUGCAAAGAUGAGUCUAAGCCUCAAAACUGUUUUGAAUAGAAGUGGGAAGAUGCAGAGCCAAGGGCCCGGAAAAUAGGAAGAAGAUAACAAUGUCCGUGAGCUGUUCUAUGAUACAAGAACCAGUGAGGACUCGGAAAAAUAAAAUGAUGGAAACCAUUCUUGUGGAGUUCUGAUUGAGACUGGAAAGAAGCUACGAUUUUAUAACAUCAAUGCUAAUAGUUGUUCUCCUGAGAUAGUUUUCAGGCGUUUUAUAUAGACAAGCAUGUUAUAAGGAGAACACUUAUCAUGUUGUGAAAGGACAUGUGUCCAUGAAGGUGUGACAGUCCAGGAGAAGUUCAAUAUUCGUUGAGAAAGAUUCUUUGUAUUGUACCUUUUUGGGGAUUUGUAAUAUAAAGCUAACAUAUUCUUUGAUUA